GACGGAGGAUGCAAGUGUUAUCCGGAAUCACUGGGCGUAAAGCGUCUGUAGGUGGUCAAAUAAGUCAACUGUUAAAUCUUGAGGCUCAACCUCAAAAUCGCAGUCGAAACUAUUAGACUAGAGUAUAGUAGGGGUAAAGGGAAUUUCCAGUGGAGCGGUGAAAUGCGUAGAGAUUGGAAAGAACACCGAUGGCGAAGGCACUUUACUGGGCUAUUACUAACACUCAGAGACGAAAGCUAGGGUAGCAAUGGG
rnacentral:rRNA from 1 species